CAUACUUCCCCACAUUCUCCGCAUAAAAGCAAGUCUUCCCCAGGAAACACCUCUCCAAGUCUUCGUCUCUUCUGCUCUGUUCUAUUAUUAAUCUAUUUCUUUCGUCAAAAAUCUUCGAACCCUUCAAAUUUUCUAGUCUGUCUGCGCGAUUACUGUUGUUCUAUGUUCGAUAAUCGCUUUGUACAGCAUUUCCAGCAUCUGAUUCAUUCUUGACCCUCGGGUUUUACUGGAUUGUACUGUUUUUGGACCCCUUUUUGUCGAAGAGGUUUGGUGUGCAACUUUGUAGAGCUACGGUUCAUGUUGGCGGGCUUGGAUUUUGGGGAGUUGCUGAUGCUCUGAUCUUGGAUUGGAGAUUUUGAGGUUUUUGACACUUAUCCUUCUGCUUAUUCAAUCUAUUCUCAAAUGGGUUGGUGAUGUGUUUGAUGCUUGACCUGCAUUUGGGCAUCAAGUUUUGAUUUUGAUAUCUAUGGAUGUUGCUGUAACUGCCAACAGACGUGUUUGACGAUUUGUAAUUGUGUGUUAUCUGUUUGAUGGCUAUCAAUUGCAAGAAAACUCGGAUCAGAGAUGCGGCUACUCGCCGUUUCUUGCCCGCAGUUUUGAUUACAUUGUUGGCGGUUUCGCUACUGAUUGUUCUAAUUGGAACAAAUUCAGUGACCCAUUUCGUGGCACCUUUAGUAGAUGAAGUAGAUGUGUAUUUUGAUGGAAGUUACAAUUAUUCACAGAUUAAAGAAAAACUUAACCUCCCCCGGCAGAAUAAGUUGUCUAUUCGUUUGGAAAAGCUAAACCAGUUGCCCCCUAGAAAUAGAGAUUUAUACCCAAAUCUAGCUAGGGAUCACAUAGUUAUUGUACUAUAUGUACACAAUCGGCCCCAGUAUCUGAAAAUAGUUGUAGAGAGCUUGUCUCAGGUGGUAGGAAUUAGUGAGACUUUGCUGAUAGUUAGCCAUGACGGGUACUUUGAAGAAAUGAAUAUGAUCGUGGAAAGUAUUAAAUUUUGUCAAGUGAAGCAGAUAUUUGCCACUUAUUCGCCCCAUGUAUUUCCCAAUAGUUUUCCUGGUGAAUCACCUAAUGACUGUAAGGAUAAGGAUGAUGCAAGAAAGAAGCACUGUAUUGGGACCCCUGAUCAAUAUGGAAACCAUAGGACAGGGAGGAUAGUGUCGCUAAAGCACCAUUGGUGGUGGAUGAUGAACACAGUGUGGGAUGGAUUGAAGGAGACCCGUGGGCGCAUUGGUCAUAUUCUUUUCAUAGAGGAGGACCAUUUCAUUUUUCCCAAUGCGUAUAGAAACUUACAAAGACUUGUAGCACUGAAACCUCAGAAAUGCCCUGAUUGCCAUGCUGCAAAUUUAGCCCCUCUUGAUGUGAACUCAAGAGGAGAAGGGAGGGAUACCUUAAUUGCAGAGAGAAUGGGAAAUGUGGGCUAUUCAUUUAAUCAAACAGUGUGGAGAAAAAUUCAUAGGAAGGCAAGAGAGUUUUGCUUCUUUGAUGAUUAUAAUUGGGAUAUAACAAUGUGGGCAACAGUUUAUCCCUCAUUUGGUGCUCCCGUUUAUUCAUUACGAGGGCCCCGUACUAGUGCAGUUCACUUUGGAAAGUGUGGUUUGCAUCAGGGCCAUCAGAAGAAAGGUGCUUGCAUUGAUAACGGUAAGGUUAAAAUUCAGGUAGAAGAUGCCGACAAGGUUCCCAACAUUGUAUCAGAAUGGGGCGUGCAGGUCGAUGAGCAUCAGCAAGGGUAUCAAGCUGGGUUCAAGGGGUGGGGAGGCUGGGGAGAUGAGAGAGACCGCCAAUUGUGCUCAAAUUUUGCUCUCAUGUAUCACUCCACAAAUAUUGGUUCUACUGCCUGAAGACAUGAGAUUUGGCUCAUUCCUAUACUCCUUUUGUUGUAUCAGGUCUGAAGUUGGAGGGAAAUUCCUAGAGUCGCCCUUGAUUACCCUUUGCUAGUUCUGCAAGAUGAAAACGACGUCAAGUCAGGUGCCCCAAAUGAUGUUGUAGCGAUUCUAUUUUUAGCUAUGGUGAUUGAUGAUUGCAUUCUGCGUUCACAUAGAACUAUGGCUAGUUGUCCGCAGCAUCAAUUUGUACUCCCGACUCUGCGUUCACAAAGAGCAAUCUGGGGAAGGAUGACACUUUUUUUACCUGGGUAUGGGCUGUAUGUACAUUCUAGUGUGCUUUGCUCUGUCACACAAUGGCCAGCCACUGAUAUGAAUGAAUGGUUCAUAUUAGCUAGACACACCAGACUAAUGGUCACUGGACAAACUCAUGCCUCUGCUACCCCAAGAAUCAAAGUGCCAGAACAGUCUGAUGUGUUGUUUAAUCAUUCCCUGUUGAGAUCUGGGUUCAUUUGAUAGGAUUAAUCCGAUCUGAUAUGUAGCCAUGAAAUGAAGAUGGGAGAUGAUGCUGCUUUCUGCAACCUGUGGGGUCAUUUUCUCUUAUCUUCCCAAUUGAGGCAUGAACCUUGUCAUUUGAAUAUGAAGCAGUACAGAAUGAGGCAAUUGGACUUGUUGGUUGGACUAAAAAGUUAGUCAAUAUUUUAUGUUAUGCAUGUGCAAAAAUUCUCUGCUGAAUGCUUUCAUCUCCUCAUAAAGCAAUCCACAUACAUAAUAAUGGUAUACCUACUCCCACUUUUUCUUCCACAAUUCAAUGAAAACUACGUUGAAGUUUUUUGUUUAA